CCGGGUGUGGCGCAGUUUGGUAGCGCGCUUGAAUGGGGUUCAAGAGGCCGCUGGUUCGACUCCAGUCACUCGGA
rnacentral:tRNA from 1 species